ACGCCUUCCAUUAUUUAUAUUUGUAAUGUAAUAAGCUUAAUAAGCUCAUAAAUCGCACGUUAUCACUUUUGUGUUUUACGAAGUGAUUGUUAUGGUUAUUUUUUGAGUUAAUUAUAAUGUGGCGCCCAACUAAUGUUAUCAAUUAAGUUAUAUGUAAAUUCUAUUGAGAUCUGAACGUACUCUAAAAGAUUAUUGGGGAUAUUUUUGAGUCAAGGUUGUCUUGUGACAUCCCAGGAAUGUUUCAGGUCUUCUGGGAUUUCAAAUAGUGUAUUAAGUACGUAUAUCAGUUUAGAAAGUUACAAAAGGAAACCCGUUCACCAGGCCGAGCAUUUUAACUCUGCCGUAAGAUUAUAUAGUUACCGUGGCGCAGGAACGGUACACGAUUUUAAAAGGAGAUUUCGACAUGAAAGAUUUUUUUUAAUUUUCGUGUUGUAACCCAGUAUCUUCAAUAUUGCGGAGGGUUGUUGGGUGGGGUCAGAAAUAAAACAGAAACCUGUUUACCUAAAUGUCGACUUUUCGACUUAUAUUAAGUCAUAGUAGAGUAAAUUUGGUGAGAAAAGUCGCUUAGUUCUCGAGAAAAAAAAAACCGGCGUACAACCAAAGGAGACUUGGUGGAAUCCAUUAAUAAUGUAAUUGUGCGUAUGAAACCUUUUUUUACGACUGAAUGACCGUUUUUUAAGAAAACGUGUUUUUUUACGUCUCCACCGCCCUAUCUCUAAAAGUACUUGUGCUAUCAAGCUAAUUUUUUUUAUUAAUUAACUGUAAUUUUGUAAUUAAAUUAACAGCGCCUCAAAAAACAUUUCACGUUUACCCAAUUUUGUUUUUUUUUUAAUUUGUUAAAUAAUAAGAAACUGAAACUUGUUAUUUUCAGAAGCAUAAUUUUCAGCAAUCGACAAAAAAGUUUAUUUAUGAAAAUUUGUGUAUACAUGCAGCGUAUGAAAUGAAGCCAAUAGUUUAUAAAAGUUAAAAAAAAAAAUGUUUCAAAUAUCUUUGAUAGUAUUGAGUCAGCAAAUUUUUUUUUAUAGGCCAGAGUUGUGUUUUUGGCGGCGGCGGCGGGCUAUAAAUAGUAUUGCAGUAUUAUUGUAUUAUUCGUACGCACCUGCAGUAUUAAUCGGAAGUCAUUUCUACUAGACUGAGUUGUUUCAUGUUUGUGUUAUUAUUUACUUUUGCCCAAGACAAUGAAUAAGAAAACUGUGUAUAAUAGUGACAAAUCUAUGAUACAAAACCCAAGAAUACAAGGUUUGCUGUCUUUAAUAUCAAGUGCAAAAAAAAGGCAAGAUAAUAUUGGAAAAGAAAUUCUGGCAAAAAAAAUGGCACACUAACAGUAAAAUAUCAUAUAGACUGUCGUAAAUCUUACACGAGUUUUCAAAAUAUUGAUAAUAGUAAUAAUAGGGAGUUAGAAAGUGGUGCCAGUCCUUCGAACUAUUCCGCUAAGCGUUUUAGGUCCAAUGGUUUUGAUGUUAGGAAAAUGUGCCUUAUUUGCAACAGUAGUGGAACUAAAAAAAAAAGAAAAACUUGGUUGCCGUUCAAACAGUAAAAAAAAUAUAAUCAUUCUUCAAAAAUUGUCUGAUUUGCCAUUGCUAUCUAAUGAAGAGGCAUUAAAGAUUGUAACAAAGCUAGUCCUUCUAUUAUAUAGAAAUAAAGAUAAAGAUGUCCAGAAAUUAAUCGAUCUAAGGGUUAAGCUAGCGACAUUAACAAAUAAACCAUCAUCGGAACUUCCUCCAACUGAAGGUGCUUUUUAUCAGCAUUUUUUAAGGUAAACAAAUUUUUAUUUCUACUAGACUGAGUUGUUUCAUGUUUAUGUUAUUAUUUACUUUUGCCCAAGACAAUGAAUAAGAAAACUGUGUAUAAUAGUGACAAAUCUAUGAUACAAAACCCAAGAAUACAAGGUUUGCUGUCUUUAAUAUCAAGUGCAGAAAAAAGGCAAGAUAAUAUUGGAAAAGAAAUUCUGGCAAAAAAAAUGGCACACUAACAGUAAAAUAUCAUAUAGACUGUCGUAAAUCUUACACGAGUUUUCAAAAUAUUGAUAAUAGUAAUAAUAGGAAGUUAGAAAGUGGUGCCGGUCCUUCGAAUUAUUCCGCUAAGCGUUUUAGGUCCGAUGGUUUUGAUGUUAGGAAAAUGUGCCUUAUUUGCAACAGUAGUGAACUAAAAAAAAAAGAAAAACUUGGUUGCCGUUCAAACAGUAAAAAAAAUAUUAUCAUUCUUCAAAAAUUGUCUGAUUUGCCAUUGCUAUCUAAUGAAGAGGCAUUAAAGAUUGUAACAAAGCUAGUCCUUCUAUUAUAUAGAAAUAAAGAUAAAGAUGUCCAGAAAUUAAUCGAUCUAAGGGUUAAGCUAGCGACAUUAACAAAUAAACCAUCAUCGUAACUUCCUCCAACUGAAGGUGCUUUUUUAUCAGCAUUUUUUAAGGUGUAUGUAUCAACUUCGAAUAUGGUAUAGCAGUGAUAUCCCAAUGCCAAGUAUAAAAUACAAACGCGUCAGGAUGGAAUUUAACUGAAGAUGUAUGGACUCCAGUUUUUUCGGAUGAUAAGCCAAUUCCAGAUUUUGUUCGAAAAUCAUUAAAUAUUUAUUGUUCUGAUAAAAACUUUAACAAUAAAAAAUGUACUUGCAUCAAAGAGGGUUUAAAAUGUUGUAUCGAGUGCAAAUGCCGUUUUUGUAGUAACGUUCUUGAAAAUAUCGAGAUGGAUGCGGAUGAUAACAACGAAUUAGAAUAUUAUUAGUGUAGCGUUUAUUAAACAACCACAACAUAACCAUUAUAUUUAGCUAUAUUUAUUUAUCCAAAUAAGAGUUUUAUUUCAGCAAAACUUGUUUAUACUCAUUUUUACUUCAAUAAUACAUGUAAGUAGGUAUGUACCUAUGUGUGAGGCAAUUAAUCCAUUUAUUUAUUUAGCAGUAAAUUAUCAUUUUUAAUUUACUUUAAAAAUGAUAAACCACUUAUUUAUUAUAAUAUAUAGAUCGGUACCUAUGUAUGUAUAUAUAUGGGUAUAUUAUACAUAUACAAAGCCAACUAAAUAUUUAAAAUGAAACACAUCAGUACGUACUUAUUAUUACAAACAGUCACUUCGAUACCCAAUCGUUGCAGCGGACUCGACAUGACAGCCGCGCUAAGCGCGCAAAUCCAAUUUUGCCCAUAAAAAAAAAUUCACUGACUCAAUACUAUCAAAGAUAUAUGAAAAAUGUUUUUUUCAAAAACUUUUAUUAACUAUUGUCUUCAUUUCAUACGCAGCAUGUAUACACAAUUUUCAUAAAAAAACUUUUUUGUCGAUUGCUCAAAAUUAUGCUUCUGAAAAUAACAAGUUUUAGUUUCCUAUUAUUUAACAAUUAAAAAAAAACAAAUUUGAAUAAACGUGAGAUGUUGUUUAAAGCGCUGUUGUUAUAGCUUUAAUCUAAAAAAAAAUGUACUUGAUAGCUCAAGUACUUUCAGAGAUAGAGCGAUGGAAACACAAAAAAAUGUGGAUUUCAUAAAAUCAAUUUUUUUGAAUUUUUUCCGGAUAAAAAACAUCUCGACCACCGGAAAAUGUCGUAAAACACGAUUUCAUAUGCCAUGUAACAUACUUAAUGAAACCCAACAUGUUUCACCAGGUUGUACUUCCAAAAAAAAAAUGACACCCUAGACCCCAGAAUUUACUCCACUAUCAUCCUCAGGACACUAAGUCUAGGUUUCUUUAGUUAUAAUUAAAAUACAUUUAUAAUAGGAGCGUAGAAUUAUUUUUAACAUGAGUUAAAUUAUAGGUGUUAUUAUGGGCAAACUAGAUCAACAAUGUUGAUUCUACGCCCAACAACCCGGUCCUUUUUUUAGUUUUUUUAAUUUUUAAAUCUUUAACAUCCUUUAAUUGAAAAAAAAAUAUUUUUAAAUUAUUAAAAGAAAUAAAAUAAAUUCUUUGAAGAAAAGCGAAAUUUCGAGAUAUUUUAUUAAAUAUUAUAAAUGUUUUUUUUUACGAAUCUACUAAAAAAUUAAAACAAAAUUAAUUACAAAUUUAAAAAAAAAUCAGCAAAAGUUUACAUUUAAAAAUAGUGAGGAAAACAGU